GCCGUCAUGGCGCAGCGGCACAGCAUCUAACUUUAAAUGCGGUGGGUGUUGAUUCGAUUCCCACUGGUGGAA
rnacentral:tRNA from 1 species